CUAAAUUGCUAGAGUUUGACAAUUUUGCAUUUGGGUGCAAUUUCAUUUAAUUUGUUGAGUCAUCAAAUUAUACUUUUUCCUUAAUUUCCUCCAUUCCAUUCAUAUCCUUCUUCUUUCACGCUCUUCCAUUCUGCUUUUGAUUAAAAAAAAAGCAUUCUCUAUCUCUCUCCCCCACUCUCUAUCUCUCCACCAUUGAAGUUGCACUCUGAGCCUUCUCUACUCCACCAUUGACGCAAAUUCUGCGGUAAGAUGUUUAUCAAGUUAUGAAAUUAUAAGUUUGAGCUAUUAAAAUGAAAUUAAAUUAAUAUAUAAUCUGCAAUAGCAUAUUUAAAACCUUCCUACUGUCCUGCAUCGCACUAGACGAGGCUCUAAAACUUGCAUUUCAUUAACGCUUUUUUCAAACUUCCAACAUUGCCUGAAUCUCGGUUUUGCUGCUAGCUACAAACCUUACCUCCAUUAACAAUGGCGGAUCCUGAAUUGGAUGCCAUCAGACAAAGAAGAAUGCAGGAGCUGAUGGCACAACGUGGCGGAGGUGGUUCGGGAAGUCAGCAGAACCCUGAACAAUAGAAGGCUCAAGAAGGGGAAAAAUCAAAGCUAAAGAAUGAAGGCAGAUAAUGCUUGCUCAGAUUCUUUCCAGUGAAGCACGCGAAAGACGAUGAUGAUGCUUCUGUCCGAGUUUCGAUCUCUUCUAUUCCGGACGUUGGAGGAAAAGCUAGAGAUUCUGAAGUUUUCUAUGGUUUUAGCAAUGAAAGCAGUAAUUUCAUGAGUAUGUGUUCUUUUUCCUAGCUUCUUAUUUCAAUUCUUUUUAUUUCAUGCCGAUAAAUUCAGUUUCUAUUGAUGAGUUUAUUUUAUAUAUAUUUUAUUCCCCGUCCCACGGUCAUAUUUGUGCUUUUUUGAGCUCUGCGAAGCUAUUUUUAUUAUUAAUAUAUGUUUUCUAGUGUUUUUGUAGAGUUGGUAUUAUUUUGUAGGAAUUUGCAGAAUUAUGUCAAUUCCCGAGCUUAUUGAGCCAUUACAAAGACAUUGGAGUUUGAUCAAAUUUUAUGACCGCAUAUUUUAAGCCUAAGAUCGAGCUAAUUAAAUUUAGUUUGGUGAUUAAGAGCUCGAUACAUGAGAAGGUCCGAGAUUUCACAAGUUACUAUCACAGACCAAUUAAGGAAGGAAAUUGGGCCAAAAGCGAAGGGGCCUGAGCUGGCAAAUCCAAGCAAGUAAGAAAGAGGUUGCUGGGCGUGAAGACUACUGGGCCUGCAAAUUCCUUGGGCUUUACUCUAGUUAAUUCGCUGAUGUGGGUUUCUGACUUCUAGGGGCCUUUGCUCCAAUUUCACGCAACGUUAAUGAUUACCCUUGGAGGAAUUAGAGUUUGACUGGGAAACAAACUCCUUUUCCUUUAAAAGGAUGGAGUUAGUUACGGAUGAGUAGUUUUAAGUUUUAGCUUUUUUGUUACUUUAAUUUUAGUCUUAGUUUUAAUUAUAGUUUUUUUUUCCGUAACUUGCUUUAGUUAGCCUUUUAAUUUGCAUGCUGAGGAUUUUAGUUUAGUAAUUUUAUUCGCUUCGUCAAUUUUGUUCCUUUAUUAGACUUCGUUUUAGUUUAGCUUGAGAUUUCAAUUUACUUGCUUUCUUGUUUUGUUAUUAUUAAAAUUAAUAUGCUUAUUGUUAUUUUCU